UGGGCUGGGGCUCGGUGGUGGAGCGCUCGCCUGGCAUGCAUGAGGCACUGAGUUCAAUCCUCAGCACCACAU
rnacentral:tRNA from 1 species